GAUGAACGCUGGCGGCGUGCUUAACACAUGCAAGUCGAACGAAGCAUUUGCGACAGAUUUUUUCGGAAUGAAGUUGCUUAUGACUGAGUGGCGGACGGGUGAGUAACGCGUGGGUAACCUGCCUUGUACUGGGGGAUAGCAGCUGGAAACGGCUGGUAAUACCGCAUAAGCGCACAAUGUUGCAUGACAUGGUGGGAAAAACUCCGGUGGUAUAAGAUGGACCCGCGUCUGAUUAGCUAGUUGGUGAGAUAACAGCCCACCAAGGCGACGAUCAGUAGCCGACCUGAGAGGGUGACCGGCCACAUUGGGACUGAGACACGGCCCAGACUCCUACGGGAGGCAGCAGUGGGGAAUAUUGCACAAUGGAGGAAACUCUGAUGCAGCGACGCCGCGUGAGUGAAGAAGUAAUUCGUUAUGUAAAGCUCUAUCAGCAGGGAAGAUAGUGACGGUACCUGACGAAGAAGCUCCGGCUAAAUACGUG
rnacentral:rRNA from 1 species